rnacentral:rRNA from 1 species
AGAGUUUGAUCCUGGCUCAGGAUGAACGCUAGCUACAGGCUUAACACAUGCAAGUCGAGGGGCAGCAUGAUCUUAGCUUGCUAAGAUUGAUGGCGACCGGCGCACGGGUGAGUAACGCGUAUCCAACCUUCCCCUUAGUAGGGCAUAGCCCGUAGAAAUGCGGAUUAAUACCCUAUGUUGUAUAUUGAGGACAUCUGAUUUAUACCAAAGGUUUACCGCUAAGGGAUGGGGAUGCGUCUGAUUAGGUUGUUGGCGGGGUAACGGCCCACCAAGCCGACGAUCAGUAGGGGUUCUGAGAGGAAGGUCCCCCACAUUGGAACUGAGCCAGGAUCAAACUC